GGCUUCCUGGUGCUUACUACAGGCCGUGUACUUACAUGGACCUCACAGAAAGAGAAGGUGGAGUAGGCUUCCCUGUAUAAACCUUAGCUCAGGCCUUGUGCCUGGUCUGUAUUGUGAAUGGGGGCACAUGG